GUCCUCAUCGUUCAACGGAUAGGACACAAGGUUCCGAACUUUGUAAUGGAGGUUCGAUUCCUCCUGAGGGCACAA
rnacentral:tRNA from 1 species